UGGGGAAUAUUGCACAAUGGGGGAAACCCUGAUGCAGCGACGCCGCGUGAGCGAAGAAGGCUUUCGAGUCGUAAAGCUCUGUCCUAUGAGAAGAUAAUGACGGUAUCAUAGGAGGAAGCCCUGGCUAAAUACGUGCCAGCAGCCGCGGUAAUACGUAUGGGGCGAGCGUUGUCCGGAAUUAUUGAGCGUAAAGGGUACGUAGGCGGUUUUUUAAGUCAGGUGUCAAAGCGUGGAGCUUAACUCCAUUAAGCACUUGAAACUGAAAGACUUGAGAGAAGGAGAGGAAAGUGGAAUUCCUAGUGUAGCGGUGAAAUGCGUAGAUAUUAGGAGGAAUACCGGUGGCGAAGGCGACUUUCUGGACUUUUACUGACGCUCAGGUACGAAAGCGUGGGGAGCAAACAGG
rnacentral:rRNA from 1 species